UGUGAGAGCAAGAGCCCGGAGAUGGAUUCUGAGACACGAAUCCAGGCCCUACGGGGUGCAGCAGGCGCGAAAACUUUACAAUGCCGGCAACGGCGAUAAGGGGACCUCGAGUGCCAGGUUACAAAUCUGGCUGUCGUGAUGCCUAAAAAGCAUUGCAUAGCAAGGGCCGGGCAAGACCGGUGCCAGCCGCCGCGGUAACACCGGCGGCUCGAGUGGUAACCGUUAUUAUUGGGUCUAAAGGGUCUGUAGCCGGCCGGAUAAGUCUCUUGAGAAAUCCAGCAGCUCAACUGUUGGGCUUUCAGGAGAUACUGUUCGGCUCGAGGCCGGGAGAGGUGAGAGGUACUUCAGGGGUAGGGGUGAAAUCUUGUAAUCCUUGAAGGACCACCAGUGGCGAAGGCGUCUCACCAGAACGGACCUGACGGCAAGGGACGAAAGCUAGGGGCACGAACCGGAUUAGAUACCCGGGUAGUCCCAGCUGUAAACGAUACUCGCUAGGUGUCGGCCACGGUGCGACCGUUGUCGGUGCCGUAGGGAAGCCGUGAAGCGAGC
rnacentral:rRNA from 1 species